GAUGAACGCUGGCGGCGUGUCUAAUACAUGCAAGUCGAGCGAACGGACGAGAAGCUUGCUUCUCUGAUGUUAGCGGCGGACGGGUGAGUAACACGUGGAUAACCUACCUAUAAGACUGGGAUAACUUCGGGAAACCGGAGCUAAUACCGGAUAAUAUUUUGAACCGCAUGGUUCAAAGGUGAAAGACGGUCUUGCUGUCACUUAUAGAUGGAUCCGCGCUGCAUUAGCUAGUUGGUAAGGUAACGGCUUACCAAGGCAACGAUGCAUAGCCGACCUGAGAGGGUGAUCGGCCACACUGGAACUGAGACACGGUCCAGACUCCUACGGGAGGCAGCAGUAGGGAAUCUUCCGCAAUGGGCGAAAGCCUGACGGAGCAACGCCGCGUGAGUGAUGAAGGUCUUCGGAUCGUAAAACUCUGUUAUUAGGGAAGAACAUAUGUGUAAGUAACUGUGCACAUCUUGACGGUACCUAAUCAGAAAGCCACGGCUAACUUCGUG
rnacentral:rRNA from 1 species